rnacentral:rRNA from 1 species
GACGAACGCUGGCGGCGUGCCUAAUACAUGCAAGUCGAGCGAUACUCUUCGGAGUCUAGCGGCGGACGGGUGAGUAACACGUGGGCAACCUGCCUGUAAGACUGGGAUAACACCGGGAAACCGGUGCUAAUACCGGAUAAUCCUUUUCCUCUCAUGAGGAAAAGCUGAAAGUCGGUUUCGGCUGACACUUACAGAUGGGCCCGCGGCGCAUUAGCUAGUUGGUGAGGUAACGGCUCACCAAGGCGACGAUGCGUAGCCGACCUGAGAGGGUGAUCGGCCACACUGGGACUGAGCCACGGCCCAGACUCCUACGGGAGGCAGCAGUAGGGAAUCUUCCACAAUGGACGAAAGUCUGAUGGAGCAACGCCGCGUGAGCGAUGAAGGCCUUCGGGUCGUAAAGCUCUGUUGUUAGGGAAGAACAAGUACCGGAGUAACUGCCGGUACCUUGACGGUACCUAACCAGAAAGCCACGGCUAACUACGUGCCAGCAGCCGCCGUAACAC